rnacentral:tRNA from 3 species
GGAGCGGUGGCCGAGUGGUCGAAGGCGCACGCCUGGAAAGUGUGUAUAGGGUAACCCCCUAUCGUGGGUUCGAAUCCCACCCGCUCCGCCA